rnacentral:lncRNA from 1 species
GUUGGCAUCAGAUCCCUCACGUUUAAGGGCUCAGCUCCACAAGACUACCCCCUUCACAUGCCAGCAGCAAAUAUGGGGCCCAAGUUACCCACAUUUCUGCCCAGCUGACUACAAAUUCUGGUUUCCAUGACCCCCUCUCAGGUUUGAUAGUUUGCUAGAACAACUCACAAAGUGAAGGAAAAUGGUGUACUUACUAUUACUGGCUUAUUAUAAAGGCUACAACUCAGAAACAGCCAAACGGAGGAGAUGCACAGAGCAAGGUGACCAGUCCGCAUCCUGAUACUAUCUCGGAGUCCCCCAGCCAAGAAUCAUCUCAUCAGCAUAAACUCAGGCAAUGUUGAAAGGCAUUCAGAAUGGUACUGGCCAUGUAACAUCCUCAGGAAAAUGGAGAAAGGAGUCACAUCAUCUUCUGUGUUUGGAGACUGCUAUGUAAGCCAGAAUACUAGUCACACAGUGCAGUACUGGUUUUGGCUGAGGUAACCUCCUCUCAGUAAAGAACCUGCACAUCAAGGGAGGUAAGAGGUUAAAGCGCCACCCAACCUGCUGCCAUUGGCCAGGAUGGACAAAUCAGUUGGCAGCUGCACUCACCUUCCUUCCACCUUCUAUCACACCCUACUGGUUUGUAUUUCUCUGUUUUCACAUUGCUAUAAAGAAAUACC